UAAUUUCUAAUAUAUUUUUAGAUAUGAAUUCAAAGGAGGGAAGAAAGUUGCUUUGCAAGAAAUUGGUCCAAGAUUUACGUUGAAGUUACGCUCUCUACAAAAAGGAACAUUUGAUUCUAAAUAUGGAGAGUACGAAUGGAUAUUAAAACGACAUGAAAUGGAAACAAGUAGGAGAAGAUUUUUCUUGUAAAAUAAAAAGUUUACAAUUGCUCUCUAGGAUCCGGU